CUGAUUUUAAACGUGGCGUUGCUCUCUUCUCGACGGUUGCUUGAUUGAGAAGACAAAAGGUCCUAACCUCCCUCAUGUAAAGUCUUUUGAACACCAAAUCUUCCGUAAUUUCGUUUAUUUUUAUCAUUGAUUUAUUAUAUAUUUAGUCUUUUAGCUUUGGGUCCUAGAAAGACGGCAUCUGUAAUGGCUGUGAAGGAGAAAUUAAGGUCAGCCUCUUGGCACUUUUUCCGGUACAUUAUUCUUGGUGGAUGAGAUUUAUUGGUGCUCAGGGUGAUCAUCGAAGCUCUCAACGCUCCUUCAUGGUGCUUCGUAUCUAUGCUGAUGUAUGAAGGGCAGAAAAAUUGUUUUGGGUAGAUAUCUCUCUCUCUUCUAGUUGAACUUGAAUCACUUCUUUCGUAAGGAUGGCAGUACACAGGUUCUGACAAUGUGGCAGUGAAGUUUGUAAAGAUUGAUGAUAAAAGUUGUGGUUUCGAAGCCUUUAAGGUUUUUGAGAUGUAGAGAAAUAUUCCAUGCCGCAAAUUUACUUUUGUAUUUUUGGUUUUCAUGGCCUCUAACUACUCCUUGUUAUCAACUUCUUGCACUGGUAGUAGUAUUAUUCCUUUUUGUUAUUGAUUAAUUUUAUUAUUUAGCAAUAUUAUUUGAUGUUGAUUAAUUUACUUGUAAUGCGUAUGAUUAUUAUUAAUCUUAUGGAAAAACAAGAGUUGAAACCUGAGAGAACUAAGUGAAGAGAAUGUUAGUUCAAUGGUAAUGUAUGGAAUGCUCGGGCAUUGAUUGAGAAGGGUUCCGUAGUGAACUAGCUCAUUCCAUGUCUAAUUCAGAAGAAAGGACAGAAACAGAAUGAGACUCAUCAGGAAGAAUUAGAUUGUAUAAUUUGUUGGGAUUUAUUUACUCAUUAUGGAGAUUGGAGAGGGCAUUCUCCUAAGCACUGUGGGAGGUUGUUCGAAGGAAAUCCCUGAGCCCAAUGCAACCGAGUGAUUAUAUCAAAUAUAUAACUACCUAUAUACUAAAUACGUGUACAUACCACACAUAUAUACUAAUUAUAUGUACGAAGUCAUAUAUAUGAUAAAUAUAAACAAAGUAGUAAGAAUUAUACUUUGUAGUUAGUUAAUUAUAUGGAUAAUUAUAACUAAAUUUGUUUUAACUAAAUAUAUGUAUAUAUAUAUAUAUAUAUAUAUAUAUAUUUCUCUUGCUUCUUCUCAUCUUUCCCCUCCUCCUCAUCCUUUUACUACUGUUACUACUCUUUCCCCUCCUCCUUCUCCUCAUUCCUUCUAGAUAUACUAUCCGUAUAGUAUAUUUUUAAAGAUUAGUUUUUUUUUUUGUUAGAACUUAGAAGUGUUUAGAAUUUUCGAAUUCCUUUCUCAAUUCUGAAAGGUUUUAAAUUUUAAUCGAGCAAACCUUGAUUAAAAAAAUAAUUUAAUCAAGUACACUUGAGAUUUGUAGAUGGUGCCUUAGGCAUCUGCAACCUCGAUUGGAUAAGUUUAGUGGCUAGCCUUCAACUUUGAUCCAAAGGAACUAGAUGCUUUCUAGGUCUGUAGAUGACAUUUUGUACUCACUAUUUUUUCUUUUAUAACUAUUUACAGGUUUCAGGUCUUCAUUCAUGAAGACAUUUCAUUUUGAUGCUAAGAUGAAAGGAUGCAAAAAAAUUGUUUUAGGUAUUUUAAUUUCGCUUUUCUAGUUGAAAUUAUAAUUAUCUUUUACGGUAUAUUUUAGAAUUAGCACCAUUCUAGUAUUUUUUAUACGAUGAGAUAUAUUCGGCGAUGGUGAAGGGUAGUUACACACUUUAUACUAACAACUUUCGACAACUAUAUUAUGACAAGACAAUUGUAGUAUUCUGCCUAAGAAAUAAGCUGGUAUAUUAUGUUAGAAGCCUUAUGUCUCUUUUGAGCUUGUUAUAUUGAACUUUGACCUUUUAUAU